UCUGGUGUCCUAGGCGUAGAGGAACCACACCAAUCCAUCCCGAAUUUGGUGGUUAAACUCUACUGCGGUGACAAUACUAUAGGGGAGGUCAUGCGGCAAAAUAGCUCGAUGCCAGAA
rnacentral:rRNA from 1 species